rnacentral:rRNA from 1 species
GAUGAACGCUGGCGGCGUGCCUAAUACAUGCAAGUCGAGCGAACGGACGAGAAGCUUGCUUCUCUGAUGUUAGCGGCGGACGGGUGAGUAACACGUGGAUAACCUACCUAUAAGACUGGGAUAACUUCGGGAAACCGGAGCUAAUACCGGAUAAUAUUUUGAACCGCAUGGUUCAAAAGUAAAAGACGGUCUUGCUGUCACUUAUAGAUGGAUCCGCGCUGCAUUAGCUAGUUGGUAAGGUAACGGCUUACCAAGGCAACGAUGCAUAGCCGACCUGAGAGGGUGAUCGGCCACACUGGAACUGAGACACGGUCCAGACUCCUACGGGAGGCAGCAGUAGGGAAUCUUCCGUAAUGGGCGAAAGCCUGACGGAGCAACGCCGCGUGAGUGAUGAAGGUCUUCGGAUCGUAAAACUCUGUUAUUAGGGAAGAACAUAUGUGUAAGUAACUGUGCACAUCUUGACGGUACCUAAUCAGAAAGCCACGGCUAACUACGUG